rnacentral:rRNA from 1 species
UACGAAGGGUGCAAGCGUUACUCGGAAUUACUGGGCGUAAAGCGUGCGUAGGUGGUUUCUUAAGUCUGCUGUGAAAGCCCCGGGCUCAACCUGGGAAUUGCAGUGGAUACUGGGGAGCUAGAGUGCGGUAGAGGGUAGUGGAAUUCCCGGUGUAGCGGUGAAAUGCGUAGAGAUCGGGAGGAACACCAGUGGCGAAGGCGGCUACCUGGACCAGCACUGACACUGAGGCACGAAAGCGUGGGGAGCAAACGGG